CCAGUGGCCGGAAGAGCACCGCACGUCGCGCGGUGUCCGGUGCGCCCCCGGCGGCCCAUGAAAAUCCGGAGGACCGAGUACCGUUCACGCCCGGUCGUACUCAUGCCCGCAUCAGGUCUCCAAGGUGAACAGCCUCUGGCCAAUGGAACAAUGUAGGCAAGGGAAGUCGGCAAAACGGAUCCGUAACUUCGGGAAAAGGAUUGGCUCUGAGGACUGGGCUCGGGGGUCCCGGCCCCGAACCCGUCGGCCG
rnacentral:ncRNA from 1 species